UUUAUCUCACCACUGAAAUAAAACGCAUGUUUAUCGCCAAACAACGAAUCUACUUGGAAUUUAUGAAUUAUAUUUUGAUCCUCAAAUUUCGGACUAGAACUUUAAUUAAUAAAUGACGUCGGACGAUAGGGGUAUUUAUUGCCAUAAGAAGCCGCCAAUGUUCAUCAGAUUUUUUCUACAUUUCCCAAAAACCACUUCGACUGCAAACCCAACUUUUUAUACAAUCUACCACUAGUCUGCAUUACGUUAAAAAAACAUCAGGAUGCUGAAAGCUACCAUAAUUUUUGUGGGGGUGGCGGUACUUUUGUGCAUAAUCCGAGACAUUAAUUCGCACCCAACGUUGGAGGUUCCUAACGCCGAGGGGGUCGUAGGAAACGAGGAACAUGGAAACAGAACCAGGCGAUCUCUAAGCUGCACGAAUUACGGGUGUCACAAGAAUUCCUGCUGGGCGUACUGCGGGACGAAACCGGAAGCUCAUCGGGAGUGGUGUUGGACGACGAGGGGAAUCACGUGGGAUUUGCAGUACGUCGGAUGCACUUCCGACGCCCAAUGUGACGGAUGCUGGAGUUGUGCAGGGGCGUGUUCUUUGUAAGAAUGGGAGCCAUAAAUUGUGAACCUUUUAAUCACUUAAAUUUGUACUUGUAGAUAUGUAUGUAUAGAAAGUUAGCAACUAAUCCAAGGAAUAAAUAAUAAUUUAAUGUGUGCAUCUAUCCUAA